rnacentral:lncRNA from 1 species
UGGCUGUCUUGAUGUCUCACAGCAGGAAGAGACUCUCUCAAAUAGGUGUACACAUGGGGAGAGAGAGAGCAAGGAGACUGAGAUACAAUCAGCCACCAGCAAGUUGUCUUGAUUUUCUGAAUGGAGCGUGGUAGCAUGUUAUAGAGUCCAAGGAAUUUGCCAAAUCCGUGUGAGAAGAUUUGCCUCUCACAUGUGAGAGAAUUUUUUGAGAAAAAAAAGAUCCUGACCCCGUCCCUCUGCCACCACCCGAGUGAGGAAGACUGACAGAGCACAUUGGCUUGCUGUGGAGACAAGAUCAGGGAAAGCGCCCCUGAAAAGAAAGCAUUUUGGAAGUCCUGAAGGUGGAGAAGGAGAUUUAGAGGAAGAGUGAUAAAUCAGAAGUCUUCGUCCAAGAAUUAGCUUUGCACCAUCUACAGACCUAAGCAGCUGCAGUUCUGGAGGCUGGGAAGUCCAAGAUCAAGGCAUUGACAGGUUCACCUUGUGGUGAGUGUCCAACUACUGCUGGUAAAAAGUGCCUUGAAUGCUGCAUACUUUGGAGGUGUGAGCAGAAGAAAUCUGUGCCGAAAGAAUAGCAGAACUUAGAUAAAUCACAAACAUCCAGUAUUUUCCAAUAUUGGUUUCUCCUUUCCUCCAUUUUCCCUUCCUGGAAGACUCUACUGGAUGUCUUAGUGU